GCACUUCGAGUUAUUGUUGAGUAAGCAUUGCCAAAAAUACUGGUGAACGAGGCUUAAGAUCUAUACUAAUAUUCUGACUGAAGCCUUGUUUGAGGUAUUGCAUGACACCACAACUUUUUGUAUUUGGUGUUAAUUCUGGAAGAGCUUGGAAAAAUGUCACCCAUUUUUCUCUUCACAUUGAGGCAACUAUAGGGAGGAGAUAUGUCACCUUUUAUUUGAGAGUUUGAAGUACUUGCUUUUGAGUAUUACUUUUAAAAUUUUACUUGAGCACCCCAUGAGUGUUGACAUAGCAAUCUUAUGUAGAACUUUUCUCCAAAUUCCAAAAUGAACCUAAACAUGACUUUUACCUGUCUUUGGAAAUGUGCCUAAAUAUUGGUUUCAAAGGCUCGUGUUUCAUUGUCAAGUAGACUACAUGGAUUCUCUUUUGUAAUCUGGUUCACUUUUGCACUAUCAUCAGCAUAGUUAUUCAAUUAUUUUUUGGUGUUCAUGUUUGUUUGCACGUUGCUGACUUCAAUGUCGAAGCAGCUCAGCAAGAGGUUGUCUACAUAGAUGAAAUUGAUAAAAUAGCUAAACAGGCUGAGAGCCUUAACAUUGGCAGAGAUGUAUCUGAGGAGGACGUCCAACAGGCGCUGCCGAAGAUGCUUGAAGGAACUAUUGUAAGUGUACCUGAUAAUAGAGCACGGAAGCAUCCAUGUGGCGAUACUAUUCAGGUAUACUGGAUCUAUUAUAGGAUGGUAAUAUAGUUUAGUGGGAAAAACACUAACCACUUACUAUUUGGAUGGUAAUAUAGUUUAGUGCUUUUUAGAAUCCAUUUGAUUAAGUUGAGGGUGAAAUACAAUCUCUAGUCUCUACUGGGAAAGAUUGUUUGUCCAAGUAAAAUCAGAUGUCGGACACUGGCCUAUCCAACAAACAAGAAACAACACUUCUUCAGCUAAACUACACUUGUGUUGGGAGUGGGAAAUCAAGUCAAAUGCUGGUUUAUAUGCCUUGCAGCAAUUAUCUACGAAGACUGUGAAGUUGUAACGAGCUGGACAUUAAUUGUUCAUUAGCUUGUCACUGUUCUCAGCCCUGCGGUUUAGAGAAGACAAUUGCAGAAAGGUUAUCUUGUCAUACUCAAUUAAUUUCAUGAAACACUUUAUGAGGAGAUCCCUGUGACUUGAGCAUUGUUUUCUUUUCCGGAUCACUAUUUUGUAAAUCUAGUGAUUUUAUGACUCUUUAUUCUCAUGAAAUUUUAAAAGCCAAAUGCAUCAGAAGCAUUAGUUUGACAUUGCUUUCUGUAUCUCGGUAGAAAGUGAUGAUUUCACUACGUAUGGACUCAUACCUGAAUUUGUGGGGCAGUUUCCAGUUUCAGGAGUUUGAUGGAUGUUGUGGUCACUACUUUUAGGCUUUUUUCUAGGGUUGUAAUUGUUUGUG